AUUGAACGCUGGCGGCAGGCUUAACACAUGCAAGUCGAGCGGUAGCACAGGGGAGCUUGCUCCCUGGGGGACGAGCGGCGGACGGGUGAGUAAUGUCUGUGAAACUGCCUGAUGGAGGGGAAUAACUACUGGAAACGGUAGCUAAUACCGCAUAACGUCGCAAGACCAAAGAGGGGGAGCUUCGGGCCUCUGGCCAUCAGAUGUGCCCAGAUGGGAUUAGCUAGUAGGUGGGGUAAUGGCUCACCUAGGCGACGAUCCCUAGCUGGUGUGAGAGGCUGAACAGCCACACUGGAACUGAGCCACGGUCCAGACUCCUACGGGAGGCAGCAGUGGGGAAUAUUGCACAAUGGGCGCAAGCCUGAUGCAGCCAUGCCGCGUGUGUGAAGAAGGCCUUCGGGUUGUAAAGCACUUUCAGCGAGGAGGAAGGUGGUGAGCUUAAUACGUUCAUCAAUUGACGUUACUCGCAGAAGAAGCACCGGCUAACUCCGUG
rnacentral:rRNA from 1 species